rnacentral:rRNA from 1 species
AGUGAACGCUGGCGGUAGGCCUAACACAUGCCAGUCGAACGGCAGCACACUAAGAGCUUGCUCUUACGGGUGGCGAGUGGCGGACGGGUGAGGAAUACAUCGGAAUCUACUUUUUCGUGGGGGAUAACGUAGGGAAACUUACGCUAAUACCGCAUACGACCUACGGGUGAAAGCAGGGGAUCUUCGGACCUUGCGCGAUUGAAUGAGCCGAUGUCGGAUUAGCUAGUUGGCGGGGUAAAGGCCCACCAAGGCGACGAUCCGUAGCUGGUCUGAGAGGAUGAUCAGCCACACUGGAACUGAGACACGGUCCAGACUCCUACGGGAGGCAGCAGUGGGGAAUAUUGGACAAUGGGCGCAAGCCUGAUCCAGCCAUACCGCGUGGGUGAAGAAGGCCUUCGGGUUGUAAAGCCCUUUUGUUGGGAAAGAAAAGCAGCAGGUUAAUACCCCGCUGUUCUGACGGUACCCAAAGAAUAAGCACCGGCUAACUUCGUG